AUGUCACCAUUCCUCUAUCUGGUUCACUUGGUACUUGAGCUUCAUGCUACAGUUCACUGUACAUCACCUAACAACUCUGAAGGCAAAGUAAUCACCUACCAUUUGUCCCAACAAAAUGCUACUCCAUAUAAAAUAUCAUUAAUUAAUUCUGACUUUGCAUUCAACCUGUAUUGGAGUUUCAUUGUGGAUAUCCCACAUAGAAACACUUUCUUUUCUCUUGUGAGCAUUUUUGCAGUUUUGGCCAUGCUUUCCCUUGAGGCAUACUCCAGGACCCAAACUCAGAUCCUGGGGUGUUUGGGAUUCAACCUUACAGACACAUCAAUGAUAGAGAUCUUGCAUGGCUUCCAGCACAUGAUCUACUCACUGAAUUUUCCAAAGAAGAAGCUAGAACUGCAAAUGGGAAACACUCUCUUCACUGGAAAGUGGCUGGAACCACUGGCAAAGUUAUUGGAUGAUGUGAAAACAUGUCAAAAUAGUCUCUGAGACUUACUUCCCCAAUGUUUCUGGAUUCCAGUAGGAGAUAAAAGGUAAUAUGGAAAGGAAAGCCAAAGGAAAAGUUGUAAGCCUUAUCCACACCCUCAAACUGAACUUCAUCAUGGUCUUAGUGAACUCGAUUUGCUUUAAAGGUAAA
rnacentral:lncRNA from 1 species